rnacentral:rRNA from 1 species
AAUGAACGUUGGCGGCAUGGAUUAGGCAUGCAAGUCGAGCGCGAAACGUAGCACUACGUGGAGAGCGGCGAACGGGAGAGGAAUAUGUGGGAACCUACCUUCGGGCCUGGAAUAGCGGCGGGAAACUGCCGGUAAUGCCAGAUAACGUCCCCGGACCAAAGGUGUGAUUCCGCCUGGAGAUGGGCCCACAUCCUAUCAGCUUGUUGGUGUGGUAACGGCGCACCAAGGCUAAGACGGGUAUGGGGUGUGAGAGCAUGCCCCCACUCACUGGGACUGAGACACUGCCCAGACACCUACGGGUGGCGGCAGUCGAGAAUCUUCGGCAAUGAGCGCAAGCUUGACCGAGCGAUGCCGCGUGCGGGAUGAAGGCCCUCGGGUUGUAAACCGCUGUCGUAGGGGAAUAACGGUCGGUGGGUGCGCCCAUCGAUUGGAAUGAUCCUAGGAGGAAGGACGGGCUAAGUUCGUG